UCAUAACAGCCCGAAGACGCAGGAUCUGCCAAGAACUCGUAGGCUAAGCAGGGUUGGCCCAGUUAGUGAUUGGAUGGGAGACUGCCUGAGAAAACCGCGUA
rnacentral:rRNA from 1 species